AGAGCGAACGCUGGCGGCAGGCUUAACACAUGCAAGUCGAGCGGGCGUAGCAAUACGUCAGCGGCAGACGGGUGAGUAACGCGUGGGAACGUACCUUUUGGUUCGGAACAACACAGGGAAACUUGUGCUAAUACCGGAUAAGCCCUUACGGGGAAAGAUUUAUCGCCGAAAGAUCGGCCCGCGUCUGAUUAGCUAGUUGGUGAGGUAACGGCUCACCAAGGCGACGAUCAGUAGCUGGUCUGAGAGGAUGAUCAGCCACAUUGGGACUGAGACACGGCCCAAACUCCUACGGGAGGCAGCAGUGGGGAAUAUUGGACAAUGGGCGCAAGCCUGAUCCAGCCAUGCCGCGUGAGUGAUGAAGGCCCUAGGGUUGUAAAGCUCUUUUGGUGCGGGAAGAUAAGUGACGGUACCGCAAGAAUAAGCCCCGGCUAACUUCGUGCCAGCAGCCGC
rnacentral:rRNA from 1 species